AGAUCUCAUGGGAGAAAGAAAAUUCCCGAAAUUGGCCCUAGACCACCUCGAGAGAAGUGGAGUUGAAGGUGGAGAAGAGACCGGUUCCCAAAGAAGCCAGCGGAGAAAAUUCAGCCUAGCCUCCAGGAGUGCUUGAGGCCCUCAACACUCAAAGAGAGUCAUUUGAUCACCUGUGUGUGUUCUAAGAAGACCUGAAAUUAACUUUUUUAUGUAUGAAGAAAGUGAGACAUCUGUAGUCCUCACACUCCCUCCACCUCCAUCCAAUGUGGAAAUUUAAACCAGCACCA